UACAGAGGUGGCAAGCGUUGUUCGGAAUUACUGGGCGUAAAGGGCGCGUAGGCGGCCCAUUAAGUCAGACGUGAAAUCCCCCGGCUUAACCUGGGAACUGCGUCUGAUACUGGAGGGCUUGAGUAUGGGAGAGGGAUGUAGAAUUCCAGGUGUAGCGGUGAAAUGCGUAGAUAUCUGGAGGAAUACCGGUGGCGAAGGCGGCAUCCUGGACCGAUACUGACGCUGAGGAGCGAAAGCCAGGGGAGCAAACGGG
rnacentral:rRNA from 1 species